UCUUACGUUUUUUGGAUUCACUUCUUAGAACUUUGCAAUUUUGUUAAUUUGUAAAGGAGCAAAAACAUUUAAGUGAUAUUUCAGUAAAAACUAUUGCUGCUCAUUGUGCUGGCUUGCCAUCAGAAAAGCAUAAAAAACAUACAUAUGUAUGUAUGAGGUUGCCAGCCCGCUACGCUUUGCUCUCAUCUGGCUGCAUUGGCUUUACAAUGACGCCCCCAAUACACCCGUACAACUUCUACUACGGCAAGUAUUAGUACGCAAGAUGGCGUACCGUACAACCGCACAACAGGACUGCUGGCUGCAAUACAGUUAUCCUUUUCCAACCAGCGUUAAAUGGCUCGCCUGCAACUGCAACAGUCUAGGAUCAUUGAUUUUUUAGCCAUGGCCCAGGAGCAUGCGCCUGGCAAUUCCAUCGGCCUCGUCCAGUCUUUGACUCUUGGCGCGUGUCAAUGCACCGUCAUGACACGUCGUUGCAGCCCAUCAUUGACGAGCACCUUCCAGACGCAGACGCUAACACGGUCGGCGACGCCGGCAGAGCGACGUCGACAGCAGCUGCUUUUAUGUUUAUGUAUGUAUGUAUUUACCGUGUGACAUUGGCAGCUGCAAAUAAUAUCAAUAACGCGAUAAAAGUUACAGCCACCAAAUCAACCGAGCUGAUAAUGCUCCAUGGCCAUUGUUUAUUAAUUUCUAUAUAAACAAGUCGAGCGUAGGCGAUAAGCGAUAGGGAUA